rnacentral:miRNA from 1 species
ACUGACCACAUUUUUAAUAGAGGUAGGUUCCACAUAUAUUGGUGGGACCUACCUCUAUUAG